UACGUAGGGUGCGAGCGUUGUCCGGAUUUAUUGGGCGUAAAGAGCUUGUAGGCGGCUCGUCGCGUCGGGUGUGAAACUUGCGGCUUAACCGCAAGCCUGCACCCGAUACGGGCGGGCUAGAGUUCGGCAGGGGGAGACUGGAAUUCCUGGUGUAGCGGUGGAAUGCGCAGAUAUCAGGAGGAACACCGGUGGCGAAGGCGGGUCUCUGGGCCGAUACUGACGCUGAGAAGCGAAAGCGUGGGGAGCGAACAGG
rnacentral:rRNA from 1 species